rnacentral:sRNA from 1 species
GGCUGCGUGAGGAGCUGGCGGGGACACAGCAGAAGCUGCAGCGCAGUGAGCAGGCCGUGGCCCAGCUCGAGGAGGAGAAGCAGCACCUGCUGUUCAUGAGCCAGAUCCGCAAGUUGGAUGAAGACGCCUCCCCUAACGAGGAGAAGGGGGACGUCCCCAAAGACACAUUGGAUGACCUGUUCCCCAAUGAGGAUGAGCAGAGCCCAGGUGCGGAUGGGCAGUUCCGGAGUGGGGGAAGGAAAGGUUGUGUGAACUCUUGGUCCUUGGGACCGACUGGCUGCCAUGUUCCUUCCUGUGUCACUUCUGAUCAUGACAUCCUAGUGUGUGAGAGCUUCAAGAACGGUUGUACGUGCUGCUGCUUCUCACAUCCCCCCAGCUCUGUGGGGGGCAGACAUCACAGUUAAGAGCUGUGGAGUCGCCAGCCUGGCUUCCAGUGUUGCUCUGCCACUAGCUCCCCUGACCCUUGGGAGAGUUCUCUUCCUCUCCGAGUCACCUCUGAGGGAGGCACAUGCAGACAGCCACAGUGGGGCCAGUGCCUGCUUUGCUCAUGGUACUGGUUAUGCAUCGGAGCCUCCACUCUGUACACAGGGACACAGGCUCAGAGGUUAGGCAGCUUGCCCCAGGAGACAGAGCCUGAAGUACUGGAGCUGGGCCUCUACCCCAUUUCUAUG